CACCUAAGCAGCUCCCUAUUUGCGUGUAACUGCUUCCUCCAGCCACAUGGUAAUGCCUUGUUUAUGACCUGGUAGUCUAAAGAGCAAGGUGUUUUAGAGUAAGACAUAUGUGGAAGCUACCUCAGAUGUUAUCAGAUUCUUCUGUCCUUCCUUCGACCCUUUCAAAAAGCACAUGAGGAAACUGAGGUCCAUAAAAGCCAUUGGAAUGGCAAAGGGAGAGAGAAGGUGGAAUCCGCUUUUAUUCAAUUCUGCAUUAAAUAAUGUCCUUAAUUACUAAAGUGAAGUUCUGCUAUGUCUGAUGGGGAAGAGGCAUCUUGGCCAUCAUACAGACACAGGAAGGACCUGGAAUCUUGAUUAUUGCCCACAAGGGAGGAUACUCUCUUCUAUUUGCAGUGUGAAAUAUCCAUGUCAAUGAGGAUGACAUUGAUCCCCAAUCCCAGUAGAAGCAUUCAAGUCUAAUCACAUUUAUGAGGAGUAAAAAUAACAAAAGCAGAUUCAUAACACUGGUGUGCAUCACAUCAAAGGAGAAGAGGUGGUGGUAAGUGUAUAUAUAAUCAUAUCCUCUGCUGAAGAUUUGAACCCCUUAAAGUCAUGCAUGAGGGCUGCAAUCAACUUCUUCCAAUCCCUCAUUAAUGCUGAUAUUUUGACCUCCUGACAUAAAUUAUAAAUGUUCUUAAUGUCAUCUAGACUGUUGAAUCCUUUCCAGAAGGCUUCAAUUUACUUUGGGCAGAUCCAUCCAAGGAAUCCCUAUCAAUCAAUGGCAGCUAUAGUCUUAUGAAAUGUAUUUCUUAGGCCAGGCGUGGUGGCUCAUGCCUGUAAUCCCACAACUUUGGGAGGCUGAGGCAGGUGGAUCACCUGAGGUCAGGAGUUCUAGACCAGCCUGACCAAUAUGGUGAAAGCCUGUCUCUACUAAAAAUACAAAAUUAGCAGGCUGUGGCGGCACAUGCUUGUAACCCCAGCUACUUGGGAGGCUGUGGCAGGAGAAUCGCUUGAACUCAGGAGGCAGAGGUUACAGUAAGCUGAGAUUGCACCAUUGCACUCCAGCCUGGGCAACAAGAGUGAAACACCAUCUCAAAAAUAAUAAUAAUAGUAAUAAUAAACCUAUUUCUUAAAUAACAGGACUUCAAAGUCAAAAUUACUCCUUGAUCCAUGGGCUGCAGAAUAGAUGAUGUGCUAGCAGGAAAGGAAACAUUAAUCUCUAUGUACAUCUCCACUGGAGCUCUUGAGUGACCAGGAGCAUUGUCAGUGAACAGUAAUAUUUUGAAAGGAAUGCUUUUUUUGUUUGUUUUUUC
rnacentral:lncRNA from 1 species